rnacentral:lncRNA from 1 species
CAGAAAGAGACACUUUAAUAUGAAGGAAUCGAACAGCUUCAGGAAGCUAUAGGCAUCCACUGAUUCAAACUGCAAUGAGCCCAGUGCUCGGUUCCCUGCUUGGUUGAUGUGGGGUUUUGUGGGCUCAGGGCAGGAGGUUUGUUAAAGUAGAGAAAUGGGAGUGUGACUUUUUCAGAAGGUGAGUUACGCGUUCCGGGCAGUCAGUGCACUGCUCAGCAGGAGGAGGUCCUGCAGGUGGUGCUGCAAGGGGUCGGCUGGCCGCAGGGGGGCCGGCAGCAGGGGGACUGCACAGACACAGGCUGGCAGCAGGUGGUGGCUCAGCAGGAGGAGGUCCUGCAGGUGGUGCUGCAAGGGGUCGGCUGGCCGCAGGGGGACUGCACAGACACAGGCUGGCAGCAGGUGGGGUCUCAGCAGGAGGAGGUCCUGCAGGUGGUGCUGCAAGGGGUCGGCUGGCCGCAGGGAGGCCGGCAGCAGGGGGACUGCACAGACACAGGCUGGCAGCAGGUGGUGCUGCAAGGGGUCGGCUGGCCGCAGGGGGGCCGGCAGCAGGGGGACUGCACAGACACAGGCUGGCAGCAGGUGGUGGCCCAGCAGCAGGGCCUGCACACC